CCUCCAUUUCUUGGCAUACAUGUAGUUCUUCAGUUCUCAUGUGUGUAAUGUUCAGAGGUAAAGUAGAGCCGGUGCAAUGUCUUCGGUGCCAGUAGAUUCGUAUGCUGGUUCUAUCCUCAGUCACUGGAACACUU